CUCGAUAAAGGCAAACCCGCUGUAAGGCGGGGUCGCAAAGCCGCGAGGGUCCCUUAAAGGGACAGCCAGGCUGCCGAAA
rnacentral:ncRNA from 1 species